UCAGUAACACGUAGUCAACCUGCCCUGGAGACAUGGACAACCCCGGGAAACUGGGAUUAAUCCGUGAUAGGUCAUCUCAUCUGGAAGGAGAGAUGGCUUAAAGGGAUGCGCGGGCUUCUUCCGUGUAUUUGCUCCAGGAUGGGACUGCGUCCGAUCAGGCUAUUGGCGGGGUAAUGGCCCACCAAACCUGUAACCGGUACGGGCUUUGAGAGAAGGAGCCCGGAGAUGGACACUGAGACAAGGGUCCAGGCCCUACGGGGCGCAUCAGGCGCGAAAACUUCGCAAUGCGCGAAAGCGUGACGAGGCUAGUCCGAGUGCUCCCUGCUAAAGGGAGCUUUUCUCGGCUGUAAAUAGGCCGGGGAAUAAGGGGAGGGCAAGUCUGGUGCCA
rnacentral:rRNA from 1 species